rfam:Echinops telfairi cont1.540491, whole genome shotgun sequence.
GCCGAGGUGCUCGAUGGUCUUGCGUGUUGGAUGGAGGGGGCGGGCCUAGACUUGGCGCCCGACAACCAAGAGAUCGCCUCGAGUGGGCGGUUCGGAGACUACAUCUCCCAAGGGCCCCUGCGCGGCGCGAAAGGGGAAGCACUGCGGACCCACUGCGCAGGCGCGGGAGUCUCCAUUGUCUAUAUAUGCGAGCU